rnacentral:rRNA from 1 species
AACGAACGCUGGCGGCAUGCCUAACACAUGCAAGUCGAACGAUGCCUCCGGGCAUAGUGGCGCACGGGUGCGUAACGCGUGGGAAUCUGCCCUUGGGUUCGGAAUAACUCGCCGAAAGGCGAGCUAAUACCGGAUGAUGACGUAAGUCCAAAGAUUUAUCGCCCAAGGAUGAGCCCGCGUAGGAUUAGCUAGUUGGUGGGGUAAAGGCCCGCCAAGGCGACGAUCCUUAGCUGGUCUGAGAGGAUGAUCAGCCACACUGGGACUGAGACACGGCCCAGACUCCUACGGGAGGCAGCAGUGGGGAAUAUUGGACAAUGGGCGAAAGCCUGAUCCAGCAAUGCCGCGUGAGUGAUGAAGGCCUUAGGGUUGUAAAGCUCUUUUACCCGGGAUGAUAAUGACAGUACCGGGAGAAUAAGCACCGGCUAACUCCGUG